GAAAUCCAGCUGGUGACCCGGUUCUGUGAGGAAUUCUGUUCAGGAGGUCACAUUUCAGGCUCUCCACAUCAUGUGUGACUGACUUUUACGUUAUAACAACGAUCACACACUAGGAAUGUUAUAAAGCGCCUAUAUAGGAGAUUCUUUUGUAUAUUAUCUGACUUUAUAAACUCCAACAACAAUGUGCUUCUAUUUUUUUUCAGGCUAAAUCUACCCAAGACACUGGCUGUCAGACUGAUUUAGCUGCAUGAAUGUACUUUUCCAGGCUGAUGUGAAACCUUCCCUGUAGCAAAGCCAGUCAGAAUGGAGUUCACAGCCGCAGUGUGUCUGGUGACCCACAGGGACCAUGAUGAAAAUUCAUCUUCCAGAAAGUCCCAGAGCGUCCAGACCCCCUGAAAAGACCUAGAUGUAAGGUGUCUGCUGUUGAUUCCAGCUUCCACCUCAGUGACAGUGCAAGCUCAGUGAACUGUUCAAGCCUGGCUGAUCACCUGAUAACUCCUGUCAUCUGGUUAUGACAGCAUGAGGAUGUCCUCACACACCUGUAACCUAUCAGCUCAUCCUGC